rnacentral:rRNA from 1 species
AGAACGAACGCUGGCGGCAUGCCUAACACAUGCAAGUCGAACGAGACCUUCGGGUCUAGUGGCGCACGGGUGCGUAACGCGUGGGAAUCUGCCCUUAGGUUCGGAAUAACUCAGGGAAACUUGAGCUAAUACCGGAUAAUGACUUCGGUCCAAAGAUUUAUCGCCUAGGGAUGAGCCCGCGUAGGAUUAGCUAGUUGGUGAGGUAAAGGCUCACCAAGGCUACGAUCCUUAGCUGGUCUGAGAGGAUGAUCAGCCACACUGGGACUGAGACACGGCCCAGACUCCUACGGGAGGCAGCAGUGGGGAAUUUGGACAAUGGCGAAAGCCUGAUCCAGCAAUGCCGCGUGCAGGAAGAAGGCCUUCGGGUUGUAAA